GAAAUGCGAUAAGUAAUGUGAAUUGCAGAAUUCAGUGAAUCAUCGAAUCUUUGAACGCACAUUGCGCCCUAUGGUAUUCCGUAGGGCAUGCCUGUUCGAGCGUCAUUACACACCUCAAGCUCUGCUUGGUAUUGGGCAUCGUCCCCCUAAACUGGGACGUGCCUCAAAGACCUCGGCGGUGGCGUCUUUGCCUCAAGCGUAGUAAUAUUCUUAUCUCGCUUUGGAGUCGAAGGCGUCGCCCGCCGGACGAAACCUUUAUUUUUCUAUCAAGGUUGACCUCGGAUCAGGUAGGGAUACCCGCUGAACUUAA
rnacentral:misc_RNA from 1 species